GAUGAACGCUGGCGGCGCGCCUAACACAUGCAAGUCGAACGAUUAAAGCACCUUCGGGUGUGUAUAAAGUGGCGAACGGCUGAGUAACACGUGGGCAACCUGCCCCUCUCAUUGGGAUAGCCACGGGAAACCGUGGAUAAUACCGAAUACUUCGGGACUUCCGCAUGGAAGACUCGAGAAAGCUCCGGCGGAGAGGGAUGGGCCCGCGGCCUGUUAGCUUGUUGGUGGGGUAAUGGCCUACCAAGGCAAUGAUGGGUAGCUGGGUUGAGAGACCGACCAGCCAGAUUGGGACUGAGACACGGCCCAGACUCCUACGGGAGGCAGCAGUGGGGAAUCUUGCACAAUGGGCGAAAGCCUGAUGCAGCGACGCCGCGUGCGGGAUGAAGGCCUUCGGGUUUUAAACCGCUUUCAGCAGGGACGAGGCGAAAGUGACGGUACCUGCAGAAGAAGCCCCGGCUAACUACGUG
rnacentral:rRNA from 1 species